AAACUUGGGAAAAGCUUCGUUAGAUCCCCUCCGUUAUCCCUCUCUCUCUCUCUCUCUCUCUCUUUCUCUUUCUCUCUCUCUUUCUUCUUUUCUUUUUUCUUUUCCUUUCUUCUCCACAGACCUCACCUCCCACCAAACCCUCCCUCCUCCACAGCACGCCCACCUCCCACCUUGCCCACUUGCCCCAUCGAAGCAGUUCUCGCCCGCCCACUUGCUUUCUCACUUUCUCUUUUUCUUCUUUUCUUUUUCUUUUUCCUUUCUUCUCACAGAGCUUACCACCAAACCUUCCCUCCUCCACACCCCGCCCACCUCCCAUCUCGCCCACCUCGCCCACUCGCCCCCUCGCCUGCUCGCUCGCUUGCUGGCUCGCUCGCCCCCUCGCCUACUUCUAAGGUUUGAUUCUUUCUUUUUAUUUUUUUUAGUUGUUUGGUGAAUAAAUUAUAGGAAAAAAAAAUUAUUUGGUGAAACAAAUUACAGAAAAAAAAAAUGUUGUUCUGUUUUUAAAAAAUCUAAAAAAAAAAUUUGAUUUUAUUAUACAAAAUCUGAAUUUAUUAUAAAAUCUGAUUUUAUUAUACAAAAUCUGAUUUUAUUAUUCUACCAUCUAUUUUAUUAAUCUCUUGGCUACUUGCAAUUCUUGUCCUUAGAACUAUUGAUAUUGAGUAAGUGAUUACACAAACUCUGAAUUUAUUAUAAAAUCUGAUUUUAUUAUACAAAAUCUGAUUUUAUUAUUCUAGCAUCUAUUUUAUUAAUCUCUUAGCUACUUGCAAUUCUUGUCCUUAGAACUAUUGAUAUUUAAUAAGUGAUUACACAGGCUCUGAUUCUAUGAAAGGAAAGAUAGUGUACGGAAUUCAUGUGUAUUAACAUUCUUUGAUGAUUUUUUUCUAUGUACAGGAAGGUUGCUCUUCUUAUUUCUUAACUACAUUUUUGCAAUUUUGAAUGAGAGUUUUUAAGUGUUUAAUGCUUUGAGUACAGUGAUUUAGACUACUGAAAUCUACAGUUGGUAAAUAUCAUGCUUCUUGCUUAUUUUAUUUUUAUUUUUAUUUUUUCUGAAGGUUGGAGUCAAGUGGAUUAGAUAAUAAUGUUGAGAUAGGUGAAAUUUAUUUCAGAUAGUCUGUCACAGUAAACUAAAAAGGAUGGUGCUACAUUUACUACAAAAGGCUAAGAAGAGGCAGAUAGCUCAAGU
rnacentral:lncRNA from 1 species